rnacentral:rRNA from 1 species
UACGAAGGGGGCUAGCGUUGUUCGGAUUUACUGGGCGUAAAGCGCACGUAGGCGGAUUGGUCAGUUAGGGGUGAAAUCCUGGAGCUCAACUCCAGAACUGCCUUUAAUACUGCCAGUCUCGAGUCCGGAAGAGGUAAGUGGAACUCCUAGUGUAGAGGUGGAAUUCGUAGAUAUUAGGAAGAACACCAGUGGCGAAGGCGGCUUACUGGUCCGGUACUGACGCUGAGGAGCGAAAGCGUGGGUAGCAAACAGG